GACGAACGCUGGCGGCGUGCUUAACACAUGCAAGUCGAACGGAAAGGCCCUGCUUUUGUGGGGUGCUCGAGUGGCGAACGGGUGAGUAACACGUGAGUAACCUGCCCUUGACUUUGGGAUAACUUCAGGAAACUGGGGCUAAUACCGGAUAGGAGCUCCUGCUGCAUGGUGGGGGUUGGAAAGUUUCGGCGGUUGGGGAUGGACUCGCGGCUUAUCAGCUUGUUGGUGGGGUAGUGGCUUUCCAAGGCUUUGACGGGUAGCCGGCCUGAGAGGGUGACCGGCCACAUUGGGACUGAGAUACGGCCCAGACUCCUACGGGAGGCAGCAGUGGGGAAUAUUGCACAAUGGGCGGAAGCCUGAUGCAGCAACGCCGCGUGCGGGAUGACGGCCUUCGGGUUGUAAACCGCUUUCGCCUGUGACGAAGCGUGAGUGACGGUAAUGUGUAAAGAAGCACCGGCUAACUACGUG
rnacentral:rRNA from 1 species